GAUGAACGCUGGCGGCGUGCUUAACACAUGCAAGUCGAACGAUGAAGCCGGAGCUUGCUCUGGUGGAUUAGUGGCGAACGGGUGAGUAACACGUGAGUAACCUGCCCUUGACUCUGGGAUAAGCACUGGAAACGGUGUCUAAUACCGGAUACGAGCUUCAGCCGCAUGGCUAGGAGCUGGAAAGAACUUCGGCCAAGGAUGGACUCGCGGCCUAUCAGCUAGUUGGUGAGGUAAUGGCCCACCAAGGCGACGACGGGUAGCCGGCCUGAGAGGGUGACCGGCCACACUGGGACUGAGACACGGCCCAGACUCCUACGGGAGGCAGCAGUCGGGAAUUUUGGGCAAUGGGCGAAAGCCUGACCCAGCAACGCCGCGUGAAGGAUGAAGUA
rnacentral:rRNA from 1 species